rnacentral:rRNA from 1 species
ACCCGCACAAGCGGUGGAUGAUGUGGUUUAAUUCGAUGCAACGCGAAAACCUUACCCACCUUUGACAUGUACGGAAUCCUUUAGAGAUAGAGGAGUGCUCGAAAGAGAACCGUAACACAGGUGCUGCAUGGCUGUCGUCAGCUCGUGUCGUGAGAUGUUGGGUUAAGUCCCGCAACGAGCGCAACCCUUGUCAUUAGUUGCUACAUUCAGUUGGGCACUCUAAUGAGACUGCCGGUGACAAACCGGAGGAAGGUGGGGAUGACGUCAAGUCCUCAUGGCCCUUAUAGGUGGGGCUACACACGUCAUACAAUGGAUGGUACAAAGGGUCGCCAACCCGCGAGGGGGAGCCAAUCCCAUAAAGCCAUUCGUAGUCCGGAUCGCAGUCUGCAACUCGACUGCGUGAAGUCGGAAUCGCUAGUAAUCGCGGAUCAGCUACGCCGCGGUGAAUACGUUCUCGGGCCUU